UACGUAGGGGGCUAGCGUUGUCCGGAUUUAUUGGGCGUAAAGAGCGUGUAGGCGGCCAUGUAGGUCCGGUGUGAAAACUCGAGGCUUAACCUCGAGAUGUCAUCGGAAACCAUUUGGCUAGAGUCCGGAAGAGGAGAGUGGAAUUCCUGGUGUAGCGGUGAAAUGCGCAGAUAUCAGGAAGAACACCAAUGGCGAAAGCAGCUCUCUGGGACGGUACUGACGCUGAGACGCGAAAGCGUAGGGAGCGAACAGG
rnacentral:rRNA from 1 species